UCGCAGGGUCAGCAGAUCAUUAGAAAACGACGUCUCGCCGUUCUUCGUCUUCAGAUCUAGGGUUCUCUCGUGCUCUGUUCUCAUCUUCUGCUCGCUGGUGUCCCCUCUCUCUCACCCAUGGCUUCGGCGGCAACUCAGGUGGGGACUUACUUCCUGCGGAACUACUACAACCUGCUGCAACAAACCCCCGAUGUCGUCCACCAGUUCUACAUCGAAGCCAGCACCAUGGUCCGCGUCGACGACCUCACCGGCACGACCGCGGCUGCCAACAACAUGAUGG